rnacentral:rRNA from 1 species
CAGCCGCCUCGGUAAUACCGGCGGCCCGAGUGGCGGUCACUAUUAUUGGGCUUAAAGCGUCCGUAGCCGGGUUGGGAAGUCCUCCGGGAAAUCUGGCCGCUUAACGGUCAGAAUGCCGGAGGAUACUCCCAGCCUAGGGAGCGGGAGAGGCCGAGGGGAUUCCCGGAGUAGGGGGGAAAUCCUAUAAUCCCGGGAGGACCACCUGUGGCGAAGGCGCUCGGCUGGAACGCGUCCGACGGUGAGGGACGAAGGCCAGGGGAGCAAACCGGAUUAGAUACCCGGGUAGUCCUGGCUGUAAACGAUGCGGACUUUGUGUCGGACAAGCUAUGAGCUUGUCCGGUGCCGGAGGGAAACCGUUAAGUCCGCCGCCUGGGGAGUACGGCCGCAAGGUUGAAACUUAAAGGAAUUGGCGGG